ACUCAGGGAGGAGGCAGAGAAGGAGAGAAAGAGACACAAGAGUUACAGAAUGAUGUGGUGACUGCAGACUCAGGGGGGAGGCAGAGAAGGAGAGAAAGAGACACAAGAGUUACAGAGCCAGGGCCCUCGAGCAAGGCAGCCAACGAGGAGAGCAGAGGUGAAGAGGCAGAAGUACCAGUACAAGAAGAGGUCGAGGACCAUGAAAGCAGCACAGAUGAGGAGGAAGCAGCUAUGGACAGUCAAUGUCAGGGACAAAGUGAGGCUCCGACACAGGAUGCCACAGAUACUGAGCCACCUGUAGUGGUGUCUGAGGUAGAAGAUCUGCUAUCACUUGACCCAGGGUUGUUCCCAGCUAGGAUGAGUGACAAGGACAGGGCAACUAUUGUAAAGAAAUUAGCAAUGCGAGAAACAGAUCAAGAAUUUCCACAUGAUUCAAAGGGAAAGAGAUUUCCAGAUUACUUGAAAUACACCAAAGCAGAUA